CUUCCCGGCUCGGCCUGACGUUAGGCAGGAUGCAGAACUGAAUGUGGCACGACUGAUCACGCGAAGGAGGCGCGUCUGCUUGAGGGUCAUCAAGACAAUCA